CCUCCGCGUCCGUGGCCUCUCGGUCCCGAGGCGCCUGCGCGCUGCAAUGAGGGGCCUGAGCCUGGGGCUCUGGGCUUCUUUCUGGAAGUGCCUGAGAAGAUUUAGCGGUGGACAGGGAUGCUGAAGAUCGGUCUUAGCUCUGGACUCGAUUUCGCACUAGAAAGAAAUAAUAUUUUCAGACACUGGAAGAAACAGUUUAAACCUUCUUCAGCUGGGAAGACAACAUGGAAUGCACCACUGGGUGGCAGAAACCAAGCCCUGCAGUAAUCUUCCCUGGAACUUGGCAAUGAGAGGCAUAAUCUGAAGUCUUUGGGAAGAUCCCCUGUGAGAUACAUCUCUGAGCCUGGCUGAUCUUCAGUGGCCAAGAGGCUGGCUGCCGGGCUCUACAGCAGCAUCCUGCCAUCAACAGAGCAGUGGCAAACUGGCAACCAUAGAGGACAAAGGAUAGCCCAACCUCUGGUUUUAACAUUAUUGAAGCUCAGAUUGUUCAGGACCCCCACGGAGGAAUAGAAAUGAGUCCCAAAAAUGAUUGGUUGAAUUUUUUCCUCCAACCUCCGAAAAAAUUAUAUCUGAUUUAGAAAAUAAGGGAAUUAUUGUGCAAUGGCAUUGUGAAAUAAAAUUCAUGCCCAUUAUAUAUAGUUUUACAGUGGUUAUCGCUCAGUAAAAAGCAUGUAAAUAGAAUAGAAA